UUCUAGUGUCUUUGGUGUGGGAAGUGAAAGAUGCCCGGAAUGGGGAGACCCUCACUCAAGUCUCGGGAUGACGUGACCCCCCAAGAACUCACGUGAGACU
rnacentral:pre_miRNA from 14 species